UUCCCUUUUAUUAAGUAAUCAUUUUUGGGGGCACAUGUUUUUCAUGCUCGAGAUUUAGGAAUUUGUGCGUUGUCCUCUGACCGGCACCUCAAAUAUUUGAUAAGGCUUAGAGGGCUGCUCUACCAAGUGCUGAUAUUGGUUUAUAACUGCAUUGAGUCGAGUGCUCGAUAAAUAGCUCUCGAGUCGUAGAUAUUGUUAUGGGUUCUCACUUGCGCACUGUGGGGAAACAGAGACCCUUUGCAACUCGACAUAAAAUCUAACGACAUCGGAGCCGUUCGAUACUGGCUGUCGGCAACAUUUACAUACUUUCGCAGGGAAUUAAAAUUCAGCCAAAAACAAAAGGACAAAACGAAAAGAAUCCAUGGAAAAUGGCCAAAGUUUAGCAUAAAGUUUUGCCGCUUUACAUGCAAAACUUGCAAUUGGCAGUGGCCGAGGCAAACAUGUUUGCCAUCCCGGGACUGGAACUGCUGCUGCAACAAAGUUUCCGUAAGCCGAUAGGGUUCUUUGUUUUAACGACUUAGUUUGCGGUCGGUCGAGGCUUUUGCCGCUUCAACUGCGAAGUCGGCGAAGUCGGCGAAGUUCCACCGAUUCUCGCUUGUCACUCCAAACCCGAUCGAACUCCAAAUGCGCCAAGUGGACAAUUGAAAGCAUUUAAGGGAUGAGAAUAUGUAAAGUUCUUCAACCUUAUAUUCGUUCGGUUAAGAGCGAACUGGUAAUAUAAAUUAAAGUGGUUACUUUUAUUUUUAUAUUUCUUAUGGACCUGGCUGCACUCCCCUUUGAUGUAACUUUCCUCACCUGGCUAAUAAGCGAACAUGUUCCGCUAGAACGUGCUUUGGGGUUUCAAGGAAGUGCCAUGUUGUAGUUAAUUUCAAGCGCUGCUAGAGACAGGUGCAUGUGUACCUGCAAACAGAGUCACAUGUGGUGAUCUUUUUUUUAUCAUCAAACCAACGUAAUCUCCUUAGCCGCAGCGCAUUUGAAAUGUCAUGCUCAUGCCCGUUGUCCCCAUUGCUGUUUUGUUCGGGACUCCACUGAUGAGAGUCGCAGAAUACCAGCUGACGCACACCGAGAACGCGAACAAGGACGAGGACGAGAACACAGAAGGCUCUGUGGGCACAGUUGCGGUCAGAAUUUUAGGUGGGAAAAUACUAUCAUUCUACAUCUACCCUCCACUCGUUGGGAAAUUAUAUUUUAAGUUCUGAUAGCCAAAUUGGAUUGAGUGCAACAAAAUCAUAACAGUUGUGCAAAAGUCUAUGUACAUUUUGAAUGAUUUGAUCAGUUAAAAGA